rnacentral:rRNA from 1 species
CCUACGGGAGGCAGCAGUGGGGAAUAUUGGACAAUGGGGGGAACCCUGAUCCAGCCAUGCCGCGUGUGUGAAGAAGGCCCUCGGGUUGUAAAGCACUUUCAGUGAGGAAGAACGCCUGGUGGUUAAUACCCAUCAGGAAAGACAUCACUCACAGAAGAAGCACCGGCUAACUCCGUGCCAGCAGCCGCGGUAAUACGGAGGGUGCGAGCGUUAAUCGGAAUUACUGGGCGUAAAGCGCGCGUUGGUGGCUUGAUAAGCCGGUUGUGAAAGCCCGGGGCUCAACCUGGGAACGGCAUCCGGAACUGUCAAGAUAGCGUGCAGGAGAGGAAGGUAGAAUUCCCGGUGUAGCGGUGAAAUGCGUAGAGAUCGGGAGGAAUACCAGUGGCGAAGGCGGCCUUCUGGACUGACACUGACACUGAGGUGCGAAAGCGUGGGUAGCAAACAGGAUUAGAUACCCUUGUAGUC